rnacentral:rRNA from 1 species
GGACGAACGCUAGCGGCAGGCUUAACACAUGCAAGUCGAGGGGCAACACGGGUAGCAAUACCUGGUGGCGACCGGCGCAAGGGUGCGUAACGCGUGAGCAACAUGCCCUAUACAGGGGGAUAAUCCAGGGAAACUUGGUCUAAUAUCCCAUAGCAUUUAGAGGAGGCAUCUUCACUAAAUUAAAGCUUCGGUGGUAUAGGAUUGGCUCGCGUGACAUUAGCUAGAUGGUGAGGUAACGGCCCACCAUGGCUAUGAUGUCUAGGGGUUCUGAGAGGAAGACCCCCCACACUGGGACUGAGACACGGCCCAGACUCCUACGGGAGGCAGCAGUGAGGAAUAUUGGACAAUGGAUGGAAAUCUGAUCCAGCCAUGCCGCGUGCAGGAAGACGGCCCUAUGGGUUGUAAACUGCUUUUAUAUGGGAGCAAUAAGGUUUACGAGUAGACCGAUGAGAGUACCAUAUGAAUAAGCAUCGGCUAACUCCGUGCCAGCAGCCGCGGUAAUACGGAGGAUGCGAGCGUUAUCCGGAUUUAUUGGGUUUAAAGGGUGCGUAGGCGGCUUAGUAAGUCAGCGGUGAAAUUUUGCAGCUUAACUGUAACAGUGCCGUUGAUACUGCCAGGCUAGGAUUUGGUUGCUGUGGGUGGAAUGUGUGGUGUAGCGGUGAAAUGCUUAGAUAUCACACAGAAUAUCGAUUGCGAAGGCAGCUCACAAAGCCAAGAUUGACGCUGAGGCACGAAAGUGUGGGGAUCAAACAGGAUUAGAUACCCUGGUAGUCCACACUGUAAACGAUGAUAACUCGCUGCCGGCGAUACACAGUCGGUGGCCAAGCGAAAGCGAUAAGUUAUCCACCUGGGGAGUACGACCGCAAGGUUG